AAAGUAGAAAUAUAUUUUAUCUGUUAUCAAUCCCAAGAUAACACAAAUAUGUUCCUUGGCAGCUUUUAGAGGACGAUGUGGACGUGCCAUAUCAUCGUCACAGAGAAACGGUCCUAUCUUUUGUUUAAAAAAAGUCACUAUUUAAUCUAUUGAUCGAGUGUAAAGCCAUGAUUCAUCAAGAAGAAGAGUUAGAAUGUAGAAAAGUUCAUAGGUUUCCUCUUUUAUUUUUUUUUAUAUUUUGGAUUGGGUAUCAAUUUGUGCAAAUAACAGACCAUGUGGGUACUGGACAUUCAUAUUGAUUUGUGGGGAAAAGUGACCAUAUUCAGACAUAAGAGAUUGCCGCCCAACAUUUUUUGUUUGUAUUUAUUGUGUUUAGCAAGUCAAUUUAGAGAGUAGAAUGUGCUGGGCUGUUUUUUUGUCAGUUAUCGUCAAUGGAAAACAAGCGAUUUUAAAAAAUACAGACACGCAGAUAGUGGGGAGUAAAAUUGAACAACUUGAGCAAAAUAAAAAAAAAAUCCACAAAUGCUGAUCAUGGUGAGUAAAAGUAAAUCACUUGAGAAAAAUGACCAAAAUUAAAAAAUGCUGUAAUGUGCAACAAUCUCAAAAUUUCUCCAUUUUCAUUUUUACUCCCAUUAUAUUAAUAUAGUUGAGCUUUUCUUAUUUAAGAGGAAUUGUGCAUGUUGGUCAACAACAACAAGAAACAUUGUAAAGGUUUUAAUAUUACACCGUCACCCACUUACAGUUGAUGAAACAUCAUGAAUCUCGAAUAUUAUUAUCAUUGUGCAUUAGGAAUCAUUUGUGAAAAAUCAGUCAGAUCAUUGACAUAAAAGCGAUAUUGCGGUGAUGAUGUCAUGGCUUUGCCACAAAGGACUUUAUGAAUCAUCUAUGUCAAAGCUUCCUUCAUAUCAGCAAAAUAUUAGCAGCGAAUAUGGCACGAUGUCCAGUAUAUCUUUCGCAUGUGAUGUCAAGUGUCGAGGCUAAAAGAGCUUUGUGAGUGCCACGGCAGUUGACAGCUGAUGUGAAAUCCAAAUCCCAGACCAGGACCGUGUGACUCACCAACAAGAUAAAAGUGCCCAAGAAUUCGGCCAUGCACUCCCUCAGGAGAGGAUUCCUCACUCGGAAGCCGCGGCGCUUCAACAUCACUUCACGGAGCUUCCAGCUCCUCCGACACAAGCAAUCAUUUACCAGCUGCUCA